AAAAAUAUAUAUAUUUGCAGGGAGUACGAGUGCUUUUAUGCAGAUGGAAGAAUACUUUAUUGUGACGCAUGUUGUGAAUAUGAUUGUUGUCCGGAAGACAACGGCUGGUCUCCUGUUCCUUUUCUUUAUGCAAUCCUCGGUAUCAUUGGUAUCUGUGUCGUUUUGGUCAUAUUUGCAGCCUUAUGUGCAUGCUGUGCAUCCUGUUGUUCAGCCAUGUGUAAAAAUGGAACCAAUACAAGAAAUAAUGUAGUGAAUACAAAUUCGUAUCAGUCAUGCCAAGCGACUGUACAGCAACCUACAAUUAAUCGCGUGUAAUGAAAAACUUGAAUUAUUUGAAUCAUGUGUACAUUCUUCACAUUACACUUAUCCUGUUGAUUUUUUUCUAGAGUUAAUCUGGCUUCUGAAUAAGUGCACGUUGGAAUAAAGUAUUAGUUAAAAGUGGAUUGGCUUUCAAUGAAGAGAUUUUCCAUAAGUAUUUGAAAACUUAUAUAAACAAAAAAAAAUUAUGAUUUAGAUAAUCGUAAAAACUAUUUCUUGAACAAUAAAUGUUGAUCGAGUUCUAACGAAUAUUUAUACUU